rnacentral:rRNA from 1 species
CGACCGGCAAACGGGUGCGGAACACGUACGCAACCUUCCUUCAAGCGAGGGAUAGCCCAGAGAAAUUUGGAUUAAUACCUCAUAGGAAUGUAGUCUCGCAUGAGACAGCAUUUAAAGAUUUAUCACUUGAAGAUGGGCGUGCGUCUGAUUAGGUAGUUGGUGAGGUAACGGCUCACCAAGCCGACGAUCAGUAACUGGCGUGAGAGCGCGACCAGUCACACGGGCACUGAGACACGGGCCCGACUCCUACGGGAGGCAGCAGUAAGGAAUAUUGGUCAAUGGACGCAAGUCUGAACCAGCCAUGCCGCGUGGAGGAUGAAGGCCCUCUGGGUUGUAAACUUCUUUUAUUUGGGACGAAACACUUUCUUUCUAGAGAGCUUGACGGUACCAGAUGAAUAAGCACCGGCUAACUCCGUGCCAGCAGCCGCGGUAAUACGGAGGGUGCAAGCGUUAUCCGGAUUCACUGGGUUUAAAGGGUGCGUAGGCGGAUAUGUAAGUCCGUGGUGAAAUCUCCGAGCUUAACUCGGAAACUGCCAUGGAUACUAUAUAUCUUGAAUGUUGUGGAGGUUAGCGGAAUAGUUCAUGUAGCGGUGAAAUGCUUAGAUAUGACCUAGAACACCGAUUGCGAAGGCAGCUGGCUACACAACGAUUGACGCUGAGGCACGAAAGCGUGGGGAUCAAACAGGAUUAGAUACCCUGGUAGUCCACGCCCUAAACGAUGAUUACUCGACAUUUGCGAUAUACAGUAAGUGUCUGAGCGAAAGCAUUAAGUAAU